rnacentral:lncRNA from 1 species
CGCCCAAUUCCAGACCCAUCCGUUCAUCAUCGAGUCCUCCGAUCGUCGCCUCCGCUCACUGCCUUUCGUCUCCGAUCGUCGUCGUUAGUUCGCCGGCCGGUUAAUCUCAUCGUCCCUGUUUACGAUAUCUGAUUUGACUCCGUAUCAACACUAAUCUCAGAUUGUUUCCGUCUGGUAAAUUCCGACCAGAAAUUGUCUCCGUUUGGGAUAAUUCCGGCAGAAAUUCUAUCUCCAUCUUCACUGUCUACGAUACCGGAUUUGAUCCCGUAUCAACUGGUGCUUUCAAUCUAUUGUUUACUCAUACUUUCAGGAAAAUGACAACUGCUCCACAUAACUUACCGGAAGGCAUGGAAGCAACUGUCAAGAGACUCCAGACAUUUCAGAUGUCCCAAACAAGUGAACUGUCCGAUCUGAGGAAGUCACUGAAUCACAACGUACUGGAAUUAGGGAAGCAAAUCUCUGAUUUAACUUCACUCAUUACCAACAAGCAAGAGAAUCUACAUAAUAAACAGACAAGCGAAUCAUCUUCUGCCCAAAUGAAUAUGAGCAGUGAACAGGAGGAAAUUACUAUUGAUCCAGAGCGACCUGCUUAUGUUGUGAGUAUGUAUGGUAAUGCAGAUUAUACUCCGUCUAAACACAUCAAGUUUGAUAUGCCUAAGUUUAAUGGGAAGGACCCUGAGGCCUGGAUCUUUAUGGCCCGGAGGUUUUUCAUUUUUCAUAACACCCCUGAAGAUCAGAAACUCAUUAUAGCAUCAUUCAACAUGGUCGAUGUUGCUCUGAAAUGGUUUUUGUGGAUGGAGUCCAGCAACUAUUUAACCACUUGGCUGGCAUUCGUCAAAUCAUUACUAAAAAAAUUCAACCCCACCACUUACACAAUUCCUGGUGGAAGAUUAAGCAAGAUUUCUCAGAUAACUACAGUUGCUGAAUUUGUGACAAGGUUUGAAGACUAUUCUUCAAAAGUGGUUGG